GAUGAACGCUGGCGGCGUGCUUAACACAUGCAAGUCGAACGAUGAAGCCCAGCUUGCUGGGUGGAUUAGUGGCGAACGGGUGAGUAACACGUGAGUAACCUGCCCUUGACUCUGGGAUAAGCCUGGGAAACUGGGUCUAAUACUGGAUAUGACUUCUCAUCGCAUGGUGGGGGGUGGAAAGAUUUAUUGGUCUUGGAUGGACUCGCGGCCUAUCAGCUUGUUGGUGAGGUAAUGGCUCACCAAGGCGACGACGGGUAGCCGGCCUGAGAGGGUGACCGGCCACACUGGGACUGAGACACGGCCCAGACUCCUACGGGAGGCAGCAGUGGGGAAUAUUGCACAAUGGGCGCAAGCCUGAUGCAGCGACGCCGCGUGAGGGAUGACGGCCUUCGGGUGGUAAACCGCUUUCAGUAGGGAAGAAGCGAGAGUGACGGUACCUGCAGAAGAAGCGCCGGCGAACUACGG
rnacentral:rRNA from 1 species